AAAAGGGGCAGAAAACCGGAGGUGCAAAAUGCACUGCGGCUUGGAAUUAACGGGAUGAAGAUGAUGAUAACUAAAAUCUUGAUCAUGACAAGAGGUUGGGCGUUGUCAAAAGACGCUUGGAAAAAUAAUGAGAUGCUUACGAAUAGAGGUACAUGCUAGCGUGGAGAUCUCUCUCGGAACUGGGCGUGAUCUGGUAUUGUGGUGUUUAUACACGUGCAUGUAAAAUUAUUAGUCAACUGUGUCCGAGAUGUCCGAUUCUCACAUUCUUGUGGAUCCUAAGGGGGCAUCUUCAGGUGAUGAAUUCAUUCAUUUGCUAAGCUGUUUCUUAGUGAACAAAGAAGACUUCAAGCCACACAUAAUGAAGCCUGUGAUGGAGAUCUCUUGUUUGUAACUACCGUAGCAUAUCAUAGAAUAAAGUGAAUAAACCUUUUCCUGUCAUGGUUGCAUCAGACGGAAGAAAGAAAAUACUGUGAUUUGACCAGAACAAGAAUUAUAUGGCUACUGAUUCCUAUUGAUAUAGUUGCUACAGGUUGUUGUGUUUUGAUAA